rfam:Triticum aestivum genome assembly, contig: Triticum_aestivum_CS42_TGACv1_scaffold_158784_2DL
AUACUACUCCCUUCGUCCGAAAAUACUUGUCAUCAAAAUUGAUAAAAGGAGAUGUAUCCAGAACUAAAAUACGUCUAGAUAAAUCGCUUUUUAUCUAUUUUGAUGCCAAGUAUUUCCAGACGGAGGGAGUAUAAC